rnacentral:tRNA from 1 species
GCGGACGUGGCGGAAUUGGUAGACGCGCUGUCUUCAGGCGGCAGUGUCACUUCGACGUGGGGGUUCGAGUCCCCCCGUCCGCA